rnacentral:rRNA from 1 species
AGUGAACGCUGGCGGUAGGCCUAACACAUGCAAGUCGAACGGCAGCACAGUAAGAGCUUGCUCUUACGGGUGGCGAGUGGCGGACGGGUGAGGAAUACAUCGGAAUCUACUUUUUCGUGGGGGAUAACGUAGGGAAACUUACGCUAAUACCGCAUACGACCUACGGGUGAAAGCAGGGGAUCUUCGGACCUUGCGCGAUUGAAUGAGCCGAUGUCGGAUUAGCUAGUUGGCGGGGUAAAGGCCCACCAAGGCGACGAUCCGUAGCUGGUCUGAGAGGAUGAUCGGCCACACUGGACCUGAGACACGGUCCAGACUCCUACGGGAGGCAGCAGUGGGGAAUAUUGGACAAUGGGCACAAGCCUGAUCCAGCCAUACCGCGUGGGUGAAGAAGGCCUUCGGGUUGUAAAGCCCUUUUGUUGGGAAAGAAAAGCAGCAGGUUAAUACCCCGCUGUUCUGACGGUACCCAAAGAAUAAGCACCGGCUAACUUCGUG